GAUGAACGCUGGCGGCGUGCCUAAUACAUGCAAGUCGAGCGAACAGACGAGGAGCUUGCUCCUCUGACGUUAGCGGCGGACGGGUGAGUAACACGUGGAUAACCUACCUAUAAGACCGGGAUAACUUCGGGAAACCGGAGCUAAUACCGGAUAAUAUAUUGAACCGCAUGGUUCAAUAGUGAAAGACGGUUUUGCUGUCACUUAUAGGUGGAUCCGCGCCGCAUUAGCUAGUUGGUAAGGUAACGGCUUACCAAGGCAACGAUGCGUAGCCGACCUGAGAGGGUGAUCGGCCACACUGGAACUGAGACACGGUCCAGACUCCUACGGGAGGCAGCAGUAGGGAAUCUUCCGCAAUGGGCGAAAGCCUGACGGAGCAACGCCGCGUGAGUGAUGAAGGUCUUCGGAUCGUAAAACUCUGUUAUUAGGGAAGAACAAAUGUGUAAGUAACUAUGCACGUCUUGACGGUACCUAAUCAGAAAGCCACGGCUAACUACGUG
rnacentral:rRNA from 1 species